rnacentral:rRNA from 1 species
GCAAGUCGAACGAUGAAACAAUUCUUGAUGUCUUCGGACUGAUUGAGCUGUGGAUUAGUGGCGGACGGGUGAGUAACGCGUGAGCAAUCUGCCUUACACAAAGGGAUAGCCUCGGGAAACCGGGAUUAAUACCAUAUGAUAUCACAUUUUCGCAUGAAGAAGUGAUUAAAGAAUUUCGGUGUAAGAUGAGCUCGCGUCCCAUUAAUUAGUUGGUGAGGGUAACGGCCCACCAAGAUAGCGAUGGGUAGCCGAUCUAAGAGGAUGACC